GACGAACGCUGGCGGCGUGCCUAAUACAUGCAAGUCGAGCGGACCAAAGGGAGCUUGCUCCUGGAGGUUAGCGGCGAACGGGUGAGUAACACGUGGGCAACCUGCCUGUAAGACUGGGAUAACAUCGAGAAAUCGGUGCUAAUACCGGAUAAUAAAAAGAACUGCAUGGUUCUUUUUUGAAAGAUGGUUUCGGCUAUCACUUACAGAUGGGCCCGCGGCGCAUUAGCUAGUUGGUGGGGUAACGGCUCACCAAGGCGACGAUGCGUAGCCGACCUGAGAGGGUGAUCGGCCACACUGGGACUGAGACACGGCCCAGACUCCUACGGGAGGCAGCAGUAGGGAAUCUUCCGCAAUGGACGAAAGUCUGACGGAGCAACGCCGCGUGAGUGAUGAAGGUUUUCGGAUCGUAAAACUCUGUUGUUAGGGAAGAACAAGUGCCGUUCGAAAGGGCGGCACCUUGACGGUACCUAACGAGAAAGCCACGGCUAACUACGUAGCCAGCAGCCGCGGUAAAGUAUACG
rnacentral:rRNA from 1 species